rnacentral:rRNA from 1 species
UACGAAGGUUGCAAGCGUUACUCGGAAUUACUAGGCGUAAAGGGCAGGUAGGUGGUUUUGUAAGUCUGUUGUGAAAGCUCCUGGCUUAACUGGGAGAGGUCAAUAGAUACUGCAGAACUUGAGUAUAGGAGAGGUUACUGGAAUUCCCGGUGUAGCGGUGAAAUGCGCAGAGAUCGGGAGGAACACCAAUGGCGAAAGCAGGUAACUGGACUAUUACUGACGCUAAGCUGCGAAAACUAGGGGAGCAAACAGG